GACGAACGCUGGCGGCGUGCUUAACACAUGCAAGUCGAACGGAAAGGCCCUGCUUUUGUGGGGUUCUCGAGUGGCGAACGUGUGAGUAACACGUGAGUAACCUUCCCUUUACUUUGGGAUAACUUCAGGAAACUGGGGCUAAUACCUGAUAGGAGCUCCUGCUGCAUGGUGGUGGUUGGAAAGUUUCGUCGGUUGGGGAUGUACUCGCGGCUUAUCAGCUUGUUGGUGGGGUAGUUGCUUACCAAGGCUUUGAAGGGUAGCCGGCCUGAGAGGGUUACCGGCCACAAGGGGACUGAGAGACGGACCAGACUCCUACGGGAGGCAGCAGGGGGGAAUAUUGCACAAUGGGCGGAAGCCUGAGGCAGAAACGCCGCGUGCGGGAUGAAGGCCUUCGGGUUGUAAACCGCUUUCGCCUGUGACGAAGCGUGAGUGACGGUAAUGGGUAAAGAAGCACCGGCUAACUACGUG
rnacentral:rRNA from 1 species